rnacentral:rRNA from 1 species
CCUACGGGAGGCAGCAGUGAGGAAUAUUGGUCAAUGGACGCAAGUCUGAACCAGCCAUGCCGCGUGCAGGAAGACGGCUCUAUGAGUUGUAAACUGCUUUUGUACGAGGGUAAACGCAGAUACGCGUAUCUGUCUGAAAGUAUCGUACGAAUAAGGCUCGGCUAACUCCGUGCCAGCAGCCGCGGUAAUACGGAGGAUUCAAGCGUUAUCCGGAUUUAUUGGGUUUAAAGGGUGCGUAGGCGGUCGGGUAAGUUAGAGGUGAAAUCCCGAGGCUCAACUUCGGAAUUGCCUGUGAUACUGGUCGGCGAGAGAGUAGGUGCGGUAGGCGGAAUGUAUGGUGUAGCGGUGAAAUGCUUAGAGAUCAUACAGAACACCGAUUGCGAAGGCAGCUUACCAAGCUACUUCUGACGUUGAGGCACGAAAGCGUGGGGAGCAAACAGGAUUAGAUACCCGAGUAGUC